rnacentral:rRNA from 1 species
UAAACGACUCUUGGCAACGGAUAUCUCGGCUCUCGCAUCGAUGAAGAAUGUAAUGAAAUGUGAUACUUGGUGUGAAUUGUAGAAUCCCGCGAACCAUCGAGUCUUUGAACGCAAGUUGCGCUCGAAGCCAUUAGGUUGAGGGCACGUCUGCCUGGGCGUCUCAC